GCUAGCUACAGGCUUAACACAUGCAAGUCGAGGGGCAGCAUGGUCUUAGCUUGCUAAGGCCGAUGGCGACCAGCGCACGGGUGAGUAACGCGCAUCCAACCUGCCUUACACUCUUGGACAGCCUUCUGAAAGGGAGAUUAAUACAAGAUGUUAUCAUGAGUAAGCAUUUUCGCAUGAUUAAAGGUUUACCGGUGUAAGAUGGGGAUGCGUUCCAUUAGAUAGUAGGCGGGGUAACGGCCCACCUAGUCUUCGAUGGAUAGGGGUUCUGAGAGGAAGGUCCCCCACAUUGGAACUGAGACACGGUCCAAACUCCUACGGGAGGCAGCAGUGAGGAAUAUUGGUCAAUGGACGAGAGUCUGAACCAGCCAAGUAGCGUGAAGGAUGAAGGUUCUAUGGAUUGUAAACUUCUUUUAUACGGGAAUAAACGAAUCCACGUGUGGAUUUUUGCAUGUACCGUAUGAAUAAGGAUCGGCUAACUCCGUGCCAGCAGCCGCGGUAAUACGGAGGAUCCGAGCGUUAUCCGGAUUUAUUGGGUUUAAAGGGAGCGUAGAUGGGUUGUUAAGUCAGUUGUGAAAGUUUGCGGCUCAACCGUAAAAUUGCAAUUGAUACUGGCAGUCCUGAGUACAGUUGAGGUAGGCGGAAUUCGUGGUGUAGCGGUGAAAUGCUUAGAUAUCACGAAGAACUCCGAUUGCGAAGGCAGCUUACUAACCUGUAACUGACAUUGAUGCUCGAAAGUGUGGGUAUCAAACAGGAUUAGAUACCCUGGUAGUCCACACGGUAAACGAUGAAUACUCGCUGUAGGCGAUAUACAGUCUGCGGCCAAGCGAAAGCAUUAAGUAUUCCACCUGGGGAGUACGCCGGCAACGGUGAAACUCAAAGGAAUUGACGGGGGCCCGCACAAGCGGAGGAACAUGUGGUUUAAUUCGAUGAUACGCGAGGAACCUUACCCGGGCUUAAAUUGCAACCGAAUAUGGCGGAAACGCUAUAGCUAGCAAUAGCGGUUGUGAAGGUGCUGCAUGGUUGUCGUCAGCUCGUGCCGUGAGGUGUCGGCUUAAGUGCCAUAACGAGCGCAACCCUUGCCGAUAGUUACUAACAGGUCAUGCUGAGGACUCUGUCGGGACUGCCAUCGUAAGAUGUGAGGAAGGUGGGGAUGACGUCAAAUCAGCACGGCCCUUACGUCCGGGGCUACACACGUGUUACAAUGGGGGGUACAGAGGGCUGCUACCACGCAAGUGGAUGCCAAUCCCAAAAACCUCUCUCAGUUCGGAUUGAAGUCUGCAACCCGACUUCAUGAAGCUGGAUUCGCUAGUAAUCGCGCAUCAGCCACGGCGCGGUGAAUACGUUCCCGGGCCUUGUACACACCGCCCGUCAAGCCAUGGGAGCCGGGGGUACCUGAAGUGCGUAACCGCAAGGAGCGCCCUAGGGUAAAACUGGU
rnacentral:rRNA from 1 species